rnacentral:rRNA from 1 species
UGUGGAAUAUUGCGCAAUGGGGGAAACCCUGACGCAGCAACGCCGCGUGCGGGAUGAAGGCCUUCGGGUUGUAAACCGCUUUCAGCAGGGAAGACAUCGACGGUACCUGCAGAAGAAGCCCCGGCUAACUACGUGCCAGCAGCCGCGGUAAUACGUAGGGGGCGAGCGUUAUCCGGAUUCAUUGGGCGUAAAGCGCGCGCAGGCGGUUGCUCAAGCGGAACCUCUAAUCUCGGGGCUUAACCUCGAGCCGGGUUCCGAACUGGACGACUCGAGUGCGGUAGAGGCAGAUGGAAUUCCCGGUGUAGCGGUGGAAUGCGCAGAUAUCGGGAAGAACACCAACGGCGAAGGCAGUCUGCUGGGCCGUCACUGACGCUGAGGCGCGAAAGCUGGGGGAGCGAACAGG